rnacentral:misc_RNA from 1 species
GUAGUUGUUGCCCACAACCAAAAGAGAUUAGUUGCCGGAGCAGUUGAUUGUGGUAAUCCUAAAUAUUAAUUAAUUCUUUCCCACGCGGUGUCGCCACGCGGUGUCGCCGUCCUCGCUUAGCUUCUCUACGAAGCAACCGAUCCUUUGCCUUCCAUAUUUAUAUAUCUCAUUAAUUUGCAAAUUUCCCAACUCAUUUUUAUCUUCAUUUUCCAUAUAUUUCCUAAGUCUCUCAUCUCAACCAUUUUUU